GGCUCAGGACGAACGCUGGCGGCGUGCUUAACACAUGCAAGUCGAGCGGUAAGGCCUUUCGGGGUACACGAGCGGCGAACGGGUGAGUAACACGUGGGUGAUCUGCCCUGCACUUCGGGAUAAGCCUGGGAAACUGGGUCUAAUACCGGAUAUGACCUCCUAUCGCAUGGUGGGUGGUGGAAAGAUUUAUCGGUGCAGGAUGGGCCCGCGGCCUAUCAGCUUGUUGGUGGGGUAAUGGCCUACCAAGGCGACGACGGGUAGCCGACCUGAGAGGGUGACCGGCCACACUGGGACUGAGACACGGCCCAGACUCCUACGGGAGGCAGCAGUGGGGAAUAUUGCACAAUGGGCGAAAGCCUGAUGCAGCGACGCCGCGUGAGGGAUGACGGCCUUCGGGUUGUAAACCUCUUUCAGCAGGGACGAAGCGCAAGUGACGGUACCUGCAGAAGAAGCACCGGCUAACUACGUGCCAGCAGCCGCGGUAAUACGUAGGGUGCAAGCGUUGUCCGGAAUUACUGGGCGUAAAGAGUUCGUAGGCGGUUUGUCGCGUCGUUUGUGAAAACCAGCAGCUCAACUGCUGGCUUGCAGGCGAUACGGGCAGACUUGAGUACUGCAGGGGAGACUGGAAUUCCUGGUGUAGCGGUGAAAUGCGCAGAUAUCAGGAGGAACACCGGUGGCGAAGGCGGGUCUCUGGGCAGUAACUGACGCUGAGAACGAA
rnacentral:rRNA from 1 species